rnacentral:rRNA from 1 species
AUUCCAGCUCCAAUAGCGUAUAUUAAAGUUGUUGCAGUUAAAAAGCUCGUAGUUGGAUUUCUGGUAGGAGCGACCGUGCCGAACUUGAUUGUUCGUGUAUUGUGUUGUCUUCAGCCAUCCUCGUGGAGAACUUUUCUAACAUUAACUUGUUGGGAUUGGGACCCGCGUCGUUUACUGUGAAAAAAUUAGAGUGUUUAAAGCAGGCAUUAGCUUGAAUACAUUAGCAUGGAAUAAUAAGAUAGGACUUUGGUACUAUUUUGUUGGUUUGCAUACCAAAUUAAUGAUCAACAGGAACAGUUUGAGGAUAUUCGUAUGAACAUGUCAGAGGUGAAAUUCUUGGAUUUGUUAAGGACGGACUACUGCGAAAGCAUUUGCCAAGGAUGUUUUCAUCG